CCGGAUUUAUUGGGUUUAAAGGGUGCGCAGGCGGAUCGAUAAGUCAGGGGUGAAAAAUUACUGCUUAACAGUAAUCGUGCCUUUGAUACUGUCGGACUAGAGUUUAAGAGACGUAACUGGAAUGUGAUGUGUAGCGGUGAAAUGCUUAGAUAUGUCACAGAACGCCAAUCGUGAAGACAGGUUACGAACUUAAUACUGACGCUCAUGCACGAAAGCGUGGGGAUCAAACAGGAUUAGAUACCCUGGUAGUCCACGCUGUAAACGAUGAUCACUCGUUGUUGGAUGGUAACAUUCAGUGGCUAAGCGAAAGCGAUAAGUGAUCCACCUGGGGAGUACGAUCGCAAGGUUGAAACUCAAAGGAAUUGACGGGGGCCCGCACAAGCGGAGGAGCAUGUGGUUUAAUUCGAUGAUACGCGAGGAACCUUACCCGGGCUUGAACGUAAGACGAAUAAUGUGGAAACACAUUAGCCUACGGGCGUCUUGCGAGGUGCUGCAUGGUUGUCGUCAGCUCGUGCCGUGAGGUGUUAGGUAAGUCCUGCAACGAGCGCAACCCUUAUCUGUAGUUACCAGCACGUUAAGGGUGGGAACUCUAAAGAAACUGCCUACGCAAGUAGGAGAGGAAGGUGGGGGAUGACGUCAAAUCAGCACGGCCCUUAUGUUCGGGGCUACACACGUGCUACAAUGGGCAUGUACAGAGGGCAGCUAACCCCCGGAGGGGAUGCCCACUCUCCAAAGCAUGGUCUCAGUUCGGAUUGGAGUCUGUAACUCGACUCUAUGAGGGUGGGAGUCGCUAGUAAUCACGCAUCAGC
rnacentral:rRNA from 1 species